rnacentral:rRNA from 1 species
UAGGGAAUUUUCCACAAUGGGCGAAAGCCUGAUGGAGCAACGCCGCGUGCAGGAUGAAGGCCUUCGGGUCGUAAACUGCUUUUAUGUGUGACGAUUAUGACAGUAGCGCAUGAAUAAGGGUCGGCUAACUACGUGCCAGCAGCCGCGGUCAUACGUAGGACCCAAGCGUUAUCCGGAGUGACUGGGCGUAAAGAGUUGCGUAGGUGGCAUAUUAAGCGAGUAGUGAAAUCGUUCCGCUCAACGGGACGGCUAUUACUUGAACUGAUAAGCUAGAGUAUGGAAGAGGUAACUGGAAUUCCAAGUGUAGGAGUGAAAUCCGUAGAUAUUUGGAGGAACACCGAUGGCGUAGGCAGGUUACUGGUCCAUUACUGACACUAAGGCACGAAAGCGUGGGGAGCAAACGGGAUUAGAUACCCAAGUAGUCCCUGAGCGGGCUGGCAAGGCGCAU